rnacentral:rRNA from 1 species
UUGCAGGCUGCAACCCGCCUGCAUGAAGUCGGAAUUGCUAGUAAUCGCGGAUCAGCAUGCCGCGGUGAAUACGUUCCCGGGCCUUGUACACACCGCCCGUCACACCAUGGGAGCCGGUAAUACCCGAAGUCAGUAGUCCAACCACGCGAGGACGCUGCCGAAGGCAGGAUUGGCGACUGGGGUGAAGUCGUAACAAGGUACC